rnacentral:rRNA from 1 species
GAUGAACGCUGGCGGCGUGCCUAAUACAUGCAAGUCGAGCGAACAGAUGGGGAGCUUGCUCCUCUGACGUUAGCGGCGGACGGGUGAGUAACACGUGGAUAACCUACCUAUAAGACUGGGAUAACUUCGGGAAACCGGAGCUAAUACCGGAUAAUAUAUUGAACCGCAUGGUUCAAUAGUGAAAGACGGUUUUGCUGUCACUUAUAGAUGGAUCCGCGCCGCAUUAGCUAGUUGGUAAGGUAACGGUUUACCAAGGCAACGAUGCGUAGCCGACCUGAGAGGGUGAUCGGCCACACUGGAACUGAGACACGGUCCAGACUCCUACGGGAGGCAGCAGUAGGGAAUCUUCCGCAAUGGGCGAAAGCCUGACGGAGCAACGCCGCGUGAGUGAUGAAGGUCUUCGGAUCGUAAAACUCUGUUAUUAGGGAAGAACAAAUGUGUAAGUAACUAUGCACGUCUUGACGGUACCUAAUCAGAAAGCCACGGCUAACUACGUG